CUUUCUACAGGCUUAACACAUGCAAGUCGAGGGGCAUCAGGAAGAAAGCUUGCUUUCUUUGCCGGCGACCGGCGCACGGGUGAGUAACACGUAUCCAACCUGCCCUUUACUCGGGGAUAGCCUUUCGAAAGAAAGAUUAAUACCCGAUAGUAUAAUGAUUCCGCAUGGUUUCAUUAUUAAAGGAUUCCGGUAAAGGAUGGGGAUGCGUUCCAUUAGGUUGUUGGUGAGGUAACGGCCCACCAAGCCUUCGAUGGAUAGGGGUUCUGAGAGGAAGGUCCCCCACAUUGGAACUGAGACACGGUCCAAACUCCUACGGGAGGCAGCAGUGAGGAAUAUUGGUCAAUGGGCGCUAGCCUGAACCAGCCAAGUAGCGUGAAGGAUGAAGGCUCUAUGGGUCGUAAACUUCUUUUAUAUAAGAAUAAAGUGCAGUAUGUAUACUGUUUUGUAUGUAUUAUAUGAAUAAGGAUCGGCUAACUCCGUGCCAGCAGCCGCGGUAAUACGGAGGAUCCGAGCGUUAUCCGGAUUUAUUGGGUUUAAAGGGAGCGUAGGUGGACUGGUAAGUCAGUUGUGAAAGUUUGCGGCUCAACCGUAAAAUUGCAGUUGAUACUGUCAGUCUUGAGUACAGUAGAGGUGGGCGGAAUUCGUGGUGUAGCGGUGAAAUGCUUAGAUAUCACGAAGAACUCCGAUUGCGAAGGCAGCUCACUGGACUGCAACUGACACUGAUGCUCGAAAGUGUGGGUAUCAAACAGGAUUAGAUACCCUGGUAGUCCACACAGUAAACGAUGAAUACUCGCUGUUUGCGAUAUACAGUAAGCGGCCAAGCGAAAGCAUUAAGUAUUCCACCUGGGGAGUACGCCGGCAACGGUGAAACUCAAAGGAAUUGACGGGGGCCCGCACAAGCGGAGGAACAUGUGGUUUAAUUCGAUGAUACGCGAGGAACCUUACCCGGGCUUAAAUUGCAGUGGAAUGAUGUGGAAACAUGUCAGUGAGCAAUCACCGCUGUGAAGGUGCUGCAUGGUUGUCGUCAGCUCGUGCCGUGAGGUGUCGGCUUAAGUGCCAUAACGAGCGCAACCCUUAUCUUCAGUUACUAACAGGUCAUGCUGAGGACUCUGGAGAGACUGCCGUCGUAAGAUGUGAGGAAGGUGGGGAUGACGUCAAAUCAGCACGGCCCUUACGUCCGGGGCUACACACGUGUUACAAUGGGGGGUACAGAAGGCAGCUAGCGGGUGACCGUAUGCUAAUCCCAAAAGCCUCUCUCAGUUCGGAUCGAAGUCUGCAACCCGACUUCGUGAAGCUGGAUUCGCUAGUAAUCGCGCAUCAGCCACGGCGCGGUGAAUACGUUCCCGGGCCUUGUACACACCGCCCGUCAAGCCAUGGGAGCCGGGGGUACCUGAAGUACGUAAACGCAAGGAUCGUCCUAGGGUAAAACUGGUG
rnacentral:rRNA from 1 species